ensembl:lncRNA
AUGGAGGCAAUCCAAAGGCAGUGUGCAUCUCUGCCUGAGACUGCUUCAGAGAUCAAAACGGUCAUUGUGAAAAUAGCUUACGACAGUGUUUCCAAAGUGUACCUGGAAUGCUUGAUGAAGACAAAUGUCAGAAAGCUAGAGAUGCUUUGGGGAAAUGCUGAGGAAAAGAUAAAAGAGGAUGUUCAACAUUUUCACCAAAUAUUCUCUGACCUGAAUGGCAUUGCUGCCCAGGAGAGCCAGCUCCUUCAGAGAAUGAGUGUUUUGCUUUACAGUCAUGUAAAAACGAAGGACGUUACCAAUGCUUUGUUCAAAGACUUCCCUCAGGAGAGUGAGCAGUAUGUACCUGGUCUGCUGCGCUGGAAGGGUGUGUUAUUGGAGCGACAGGUGAAGGAAGUGCUGGAUGAGAUUCAGGAACCUUGCCAAAAUCCAGAUCCUACACACGUCACCUUUUUUCUUUUGAAGGGAUUUUUUUGUUGUAAAUAG